rnacentral:rRNA from 1 species
AGAGUUUGAUCCUGGCUCAGGACGAACGCUGGCGGCGUGCCUAACACAUGCAAGUCGAGCGGAGACAGUGAGUAGCUUGCUAUGAGCUGUUUUAGCGGCGGACGGGUGAGUAACGCGUGAGCAACCUUUCCCAGACAGGGGAAUAACACACCGAAAGGUGUACUAAUACCGCAUAAGACCACGGGAUCACAUGGUUCUGGGGUAAAAGAUUUAUCGGUUGGGGGUGGGCUCGCGUCCGAUUAGGUAGUUGGUGAGGUAACGGCCCACCAAGCCGACGAUCGGUAGCCGACCUGAGAGGGUGAUCGGCCACAUUGGGACUGAGACACGGCCCAAACUCCUACGGGAGGCAGCAGUGGGGAAUAUUGGGCAAUGGAGGAAACUCUGACCCAGCAACGCCGCGUGGAGGAAGAUAAUGACGGUACUCAACAAGGAAGUGACGGCUAACUACGUGCCAGCAGCCGCGGUAAAACGUAGGUCACAAGCGUUGUCCGGAAUUACUGGGUGUAAAGGGAGCGCAGGCGGGAGAACAAGUUGGAAGUGAAAUCCAUGGGCUCAACCCAUGAACUGCUUUCAAAACUGUUUUUCUUGAGUAGUGCAGAGGUAGGCGGAAUUCCCGGUGUAGCGGUGGAAUGCGUAGAUAUCGGGAGGAACACCAGUGGCGAAGGCGGCCUACUGGGCACCAACUGACGCUGAGGCUCGAAAGUGUGGGUAGCAAACAGGAUUAGAUACCCUGGUAGUCCACACCGUAAACGAUGAUUACUAGGUGUUGGAGGAUUGACCCCUUCAGUGCCGCAGUUAACACAAUAAGUAAUCCACCUGGGAGUACGACCGCAAGGUUGAAACUCAAAGGAAUUGACGGGGGCCCGCACAAGCAGUGGAGUAUGUGGUUUAAUUCGACGCAACGCGAAGAACCUUACCAAGUCUUGACAUCCCUUGACGAUGCUGGAAACAGUAUUUCUCUUCGGAGCAAGGAGACAGGUGGUGCAUGGUUGUCGUCAGCUCGUGUCGUGAGAUGUUGGGUUAAGUCCCGCAACGAGCGCAACCCUUAUGGUCAGUUACUACGCAAGAGGACUCUGGGCAGACUGCCGUUGACAAAACGGAGGAAGGUGGGGAUGACGUCAAAUCAUCAUGCCCUUUAUGACUUGGGCUACACACGUACUACAAUGGCGUUAAACAAAGAGAAGCAAGACCGCGAGGUGGAGCAAAACUCAGAAACAACGUCCCAGUUCGGACUGCAGGCUGCAACUCACCUGCACGAAGUCGGAAUUGCUAGUAAUCGUGGAUCAGCAUGCCACGGUGAAUACGUUCCCGGGCCUUGUACACACCGCCCGUCACACCAUGAGAGCCGGGGGGACCCGAAGUCGGUAGUCUAACCGCAAGGAGGACGCCGCCGAAGGUAAAACUGGUGAUUGGGGUGAAGUCGUAACAAGGU